rnacentral:rRNA from 1 species
AGUGAACGCUGGCGGUAGGCCUAACACAUGCAAGUCGAACGGCAGCACAGUAAGAGCUUGCUCUUACGGGUGGCGAGUGGCGGACGGGUGAGGAAUACAUCGGAAUCUACUUUUUCGUGGGGGGUAACGUAGGGAAACUUACGCUAAUACCGCAUACGACCUACGGGUGAAAGCAGGGGAUCUUCGGACCUUGCGCGAUUGAAUGAGCCGAUGUCGGAUUAGCUAGUUGGCGGGGUAAAGGCCCACCAAGGCGACGAUCCGUAGCUGGUCUGAGAGGAUGAUCAGCCACACUGGAACGGAGACACGGUCCAGACUCCUACGGGAGGCAGCAGUGGGGAAUAUUGGACAAUGGGCGCGAGCCUGAUCCAGCCAUACCGCGUGGGUGAAGAAGGCCUUCGGGUUGUAAAGCCCUUUUGUUGGGAAAGAAAAGCAGCAGGUUAAUACCCCGCUGUUCUGACGGUACCCAAAGAAUAAGCACCGGCUAACUUCGUG